AUGAUGAUGGGUUUCCAGAACAAAUUCUACAACGCCAGCAAGAAGGAGCCAGGACAGAGCUCUAAACCAGGCUCGGGGGAAUAUCGUAUCAACAUGUCCAGUGACACACCCCACUGGUAUAUCAGAGACUACCUGGCCAGAGUCAGCGGCCACUAUGACAUCAGUGGCAUUGAGGUUGAUGAUCUGGACGAGUGUAAGGCCAAGGAGGCGUUGUGUGUCUCUCCAGCCCUGUGUGCCAACACCUACGGAGGCUACAGGUGUGUCUGCAACGGCACUGAUCUGGAUGAAACCCAGUCCUGUGUAUUAGGUGAGGAUCUAAAAUACCAUAACAUUCAUCCCGUCCUUUCUCACUUGCUGAUACAAUAUGUGAGUUUGCCACAGUUUGCCAUGGCUAUGACUUACAUUAACAUUGACUGGCCUGUUCCAGGGCGAGGCAAGGGGGGCGAUGUGGAGCUGGACCUUGUUCUGGGCCUGGUUCUGGGCAUCGGCAUCCCUCUGCUCCUGCUGCUCCUCCUGGCUGCACUGGCCUGCUUCUGCUGCUGCAAGAAGACUGUGACUGGGGAGUGAGUAACACGAGCAACGCACUCAGUAGAAUUUACAUUUUUUUUUUUACUUCAUGCACAAUAUGCAAGACUGAUUCACAGCAUAAAGAUUGGAUGUAUUUCGAAUAAUUUGACAAGAAUAUUAUACAGGUUAUGUUUAAUCGCAGCUGAUGACGACCAACAAAAAACAAAUACUUUGAGCAUCAAACGCUCCUUGUAGUUUUAUCAGGUUGCUCUAAAAUGUUGGCAUCUGUGAAAGAUACAGACAAUACAUUGAAAUCGGAUUGUGUCUUUGUUUCCUGACAAAUUCAAAUACGUCCAUAGUAAAUUGUCAAAUCCAUUCCAUUCAGCAUAAUCCAUGUCUCCAUGUUUGCAGCUGUAUGUUGCAUCAAGUUGCAUAAAUGCCAAAAUGUGGCUGAACGCAAAUCUUCCUUUGCAUUUUGUAACAUGAUUUAUGUCUUUUUCUUUUUGCACACCCUCCUGCCAUGUUUUUUUUUUGCCUCGCUCGUGC
rnacentral:lncRNA from 1 species